rnacentral:misc_RNA from 1 species
ACAACCUCAACUCCUUCUUCAUUGCGGAGAAAGAGUUGGAUUUGAGCAUUUCCACGAGGGUUCGCCUUGGAGGAUUGCUUGAAAUAUGAGGUUCGGCCGGCAGUUGCCUGGGCUACAAGCAUUUCAUACUUAAUCCCGUCAAACGGAUUAUAUCCUUUGCUGCAGCCAACAUACAGGGUAACUUUUGCCAGUGUUCCGACUGAUGCAGGAAAGUUGAGAACUUGGUUCUCUUCUAA